AAGUUGUUCUGUAUAAUAUCUUAUAACAUUAUAACGAAUGCUCUUUGUUUGAAUUUUUGUGUCUGUAUCAAGUCCCUCUGACCAUACAACUGAAAAGAUGAAGAUCAAGAUGGAGGCUUUGGAAGAAGAGCGGCACUUCCUCCGCAAAACUGUUUUCCAGUUGUAUGGGCACAACAUUGACAAGACGUGUGAGUACGACAGCAGCUAAGAUUUUUCAAGCUCAGACAGCUCAUCACCCACUGACAAUGAAAAUGAAAAAAAAGAAGGAAAAAAGGAAACAGCUGCAGAGCCAAAACAUAGAAGAGACGCUCAACCAAUAUGCAAGAUGGAUCACCAAAAAUGCGACAGCAGAGGUGAGCGACACUAUAAAAGAGAAGAGUCAUUAUGAACUGCUCCCUUUCACUUAUAAGUUCAAAUAAACACUGACUAAGCACACUCGUUUACACGCACACACACAAACAUGCACACACGCACACGCACACACACACGCACACUAGGUAGAGAUAAUGUGAGAGAAAGUAAGAGUAAGAUAAAGUGUGUUCCCACUGUGUUUGUCUGUUUUCUGAAAUGAGGUGCUUGGAACUGCUCCAUAACCACCCCUAUAAACGUGAUU
rnacentral:lncRNA from 1 species